CCUACGGGAGGCAGCAGUGGGGAAUAUUGCACAAUGGGCGAAAGCCUGAUGCAGCAACGCCGCGUGAAGGAAGAAGGUUUUCGGCUCGUAAACUUCUGUCUACAGGGACGAAAGAAAUGACGCUCCCUGAAUAAGAAGCCCCUGCUAACUACGGGCCAGCAGCCGCGGUAAUUCGUGGGGGGCAAGGGUUAGCCGGAAUUACUGGGUGUAAAGGGUGAGUAGGGGGCAUGGUAAGCCAGAUGAGAAAGCCUUGUGCUUAACCCGAGGACUGCAUUUGAAACUAUCAUGCUAGAGUACAGGAGAGGCAAGCGGAAUUCCUAGUGUAGCGGUGAAAUGCGUAGAUAUUAGGAAGAACACCAGUGGCGAAGGCGGCUUGCUGGACUGCAACUGACGCUGAGGCACGAAAGCGUGGGGAGCGAACAGGAUUAGAUACCCCAGUAGUC
rnacentral:rRNA from 1 species